AUACGGAGGGGGCGAGCGUUAUUCGGAAUCAUUGGGCGUAAAGGGCGCGUAGGCGGCCUGACAAGUCAGGGGUGAAAUCCCUCGGCUCAACCGAGGAACUGCCUCUGAAACUGUCAGGCUUGAGGCCGGGAGAGGGUAGUGGAAUUCCCAGUGUAGCGGUGAAAUGAGUAGAUAUUGGGAGGAACACCAGUGGCGAAGGCGGCUACCUGGACCGGUUCUGACGCUGAGGCGCGAAAGUGUGGGGAGCAAACAGGAUUAGAUACCCGAGUAGUCC
rnacentral:rRNA from 1 species